CCUAGUAAGCGUGAGUCAUCAGCUCACGUUGAUUACGUCCCUGCCCUUUGUACACACCGCCCGUCGCUACUACCGAUUGAAUGGCUUAGUGAGACUCUCGGAUUAGGAUUAAGUAACCGGCAACGGUUCCUUUUUUUUGAGAAGUUUGUCAAACUUGGUCAUUUAGAGGAAGUAAAAGUCGUAACAAGGUUUCCGUAGGUGAACCUGCGGAAGGAUCAUUAGUAUAAAGGAAAGAUUUUUAUCUUUCUAAGUCUUUUAUUCAAAAAAUUUUCAAUCUUAAUAAUAAAUCUUUUAAAAAUAAAUAAAUAAAAAUUUUAUGAUAACUUUCAACAACGGAUCUCUUGGCUCUUGCAUCGAUGAAGAACGCAGCGAAAUGCGAUAAGUAAUGUGAAUUGCAGAAUUCCGUGAAUCAUCAAAUCUUUGAACGCAAAUUGCACUUCUUGGUAUUCCGAGGAGUAUGCUUGUUUGAGGGUUAGUUUACAAAAAAUCGCGAAAAUUUUUUUGCGGACCUGGGUUUUCCAAGUUUCUUUAAUUUUGGUAACCUAAAAUUUAUCCUAAUAAUCUUAAGUGAUAUAUUGGAAAUAUUCUAUCUUGCAAUUUUUUUUUGUAAGUUUAUUAACAAUCAUCACUAAUUAUUAUGCCGUGUUAUCAUCUGAUGCUUUUUUAUUAGGUGAGAUAACACAAUUUAUAUUUAACUAACCUCAAGUCAAGUAAGAAUACCCGCUGAACUUAAGCAUAUCAAUAAGCGGAGGAAAAGAAACUAACAAGGAUUCCCUUAGUAACGGCGAGUGAACUGGGAAAAGCUCAAAUUUAAAAUCACUUAGGUUUAGCUGAGUGAGUUGUAAUUUGAAGAAGGUGAUUUGAUCACUAGUUUAAUCUCUAAAUCCUUUGGGAUGAGGUAUCAUAGAGGGUGAGAAUCCCGUUUAUGGGUAAACAUUUGGUGGUCAUUUAAUUCAUCAUUCUAAGAGUCGAGUUGUUUGGGAUUGCAGCUCAAAAUGGGUGGUAAAUUUCACCUAAGGCUAAAUAUAUGCAAGAGACCGAUAGCGAACAAGUACCGUGAGGGAAAGAUGAAAAGUACUUUGAAAAGAGAGUUAAACAGUACGUGAAAUUGUUGAAAGGGAAACGAUUAAAGUCAGUCAUGCUAGUAGGAAAUCAACUUGGUGGUGUUGAGAUUUUUUCUUGUCACUUCCGUGUGUACUUUCUUGCCCGGCAGGUUAACAUCAAUUUUGGUUGUCAUCAAAGAACUGGGGGAAUGUUUCUUCUCUUCGGAGGAGUGUUUAUAGACCUUGGUAGAUGUGGCGACUGGGAUUGAGGAUUGCAGUGAAUGCCUUUAGGCUAGUCACCUGGCUUCUGAUGGUCACCUCGCUUCCGACAGCUUGCUGACGGUUGUGGGAUUUGAUUGUCUAGAUGUUAGAAUGAUCAUAAAUUCGCUAAGGAUGUUGACGUAAUGGCUUUAAACGACCCGUCUUGAACACGGACCAAGGAG
rnacentral:rRNA from 1 species